rnacentral:lncRNA from 1 species
UGGGGGAAUAUGCACCCAGCUGUUUACAUUCCCACAAGUGUUCCUCUUCUAUUCUUGAGAACAUAUAACCAUUUGGAAGAAUUGUAGGUUCCCAGAUUUUCAAAAGUUUUGUAAGUUCAAUCAUAAACCUGGAAUAGGGCUCGGUAAAAAUGUUAUCUAUUCUACCAUUCUCAAACAGGUACUGCUGAAUUCCAAGGCACAAAUAUAAGAUGCUGUCAGGAUCAUAUUUUUCUCCAUUCGGUCUCCGCACCUCUUGAAUAAACUGGCACAGGCCAAAACUCAGCUCAGCAAAAGUGCACGAGAGAAUGUCCUCCUUGAGUUUCACAGGACGAACUGUGGUGAAGAACAUGAUUAAAGAAAUAUCUUUAUUCAAGAGAUUAAAUCUUUACAUUUAAGUAUUAGAGAGUUCACUGAGUCCAAGAUAUGGUGCAGCAAUGGUAAUGUGUACUCAGGCUGGCAACGCAGGGUUAGUAAAUCCUUCAUAGCUGG